rnacentral:lncRNA from 1 species
AGGAAACAGAGGUGCUACUGCCACCUCUCGCUCCUCUCUCUCUUCCCUCUCUUUUCCCUCUUCUUAUCCUUCUUCCUUCUCCUUCCUUUCUUCUUCUUUUCUUCCUUAUCUUCUCUUCUUCUCCUUCUCUUCCAGUUGCAGCUGCCACCGCCAUAGCCGCAACUCCUCCUUUCCCUUCUCUACUUCUCCUCUUCUUCUUCCCUCCUCCUCCCUGGCAUCACACACACCCUCUCCUCUGUUUCCUCUACAAGAAACAGAGGUAUCACAACCUCUUCUUCUUCUCUUCCUCUUCUUCUUCUUCACCUCUUCGAACGCCCCACACCUCUCCUCUGUUUCAACCUGCAGGAAACAGAGGUGCUGCAGCCCUAGCUACUACCACCUCUCGCUCCUCUCCCUCUUCCCUCUCUUUUCCCUCUUCUUCUCCUCUUCCCUUUUCCUCCCCAACGCCACACACCUCCUUGCUGCUGCCUUGCCGCAACUAUCCUCCUCUCUUCUUCUUCUUCUUCUUCUUUUUCUUCUUCUUCUCUUCUCCCUCUUCUUCCUCUCUUCUUCUCCCCACGCCCCACCGCUCCUCUCUCUAU